rnacentral:rRNA from 1 species
AAGUCGAGGGGCGAGCGAUUGGAGUAGCAAUACUCAGAUGGCGACCGGCGGCACGGGUGAGUAACACGUAUCCAACCUGCCGCUUACUCGGGGAUAGCCUUUCGAAAGAAAAGAUUAAUACCCGAUGGUAUAAAGAGUUCGCAUGUUCUCUUUAUUAAAGAAUUUCGGUAAGCGAUGGGGAUGCGUUCCAUUAGAUAGUUGGCGGGGUAACGGCCCACCAAGUCUACGAUGGAUAGGGGGUUCUGAGAGGAAGGUCCCCCACAUUGGAACUGAGACACGGUCCAAACUCCUACGGGAGGCAGCAGUGAGGAAUAUUGGUCAAUGGACGAGAGUCUGAACCAGCCAAAAGUAGCGUGAAGGAUGACUGCCCUAUGGGUUGUAAACUUCUUUUAUAAGGGAAUAAAGUGAGGGACGUGUCCCUUUUUGUAUGUACCUUAUGAAUAAGGAUCGGCUAACUCCGUGCCAGCCGCGGC